rnacentral:rRNA from 1 species
UUAGCCACUGGAAAGUUUACAAGGAUACCACCGUUAACUGCAGCGAUAAUACUUGUUCCCUUCGGGGUGGUAAUAGUAUUUGUGCUGAAGCCUAGCUAUUGUAACUCAGUUUUCCUGGAUGUAGCAAUAUAUUCAGGGGGAUUGAGAAUCGACCGCUAGCAGGUGCCCGCAAGGGCGCGGGAAAGUGAAUUAACAAGGUUUUCAUAGGACCUUUCAGGUUUGCUUUUUCUAGUGGCCAGGCAGAGGUGUUUCUUACCUAUCAGCUCGUUGUUUGUUUAAAGGACAAACCAGGCUUUGACGGGUACGGGGAAUCAGUGUUCGAUUCCGGAGAGGGAGCCUGAGAAAUCGCUACCACAUCUAAGGACGGCAGCAGGCGCGCAAAUUACCCAAUCCCAAUACGGGGAGGUAGUGACAAGCUAUAGUGUCUCACCACCUAAGGUGGUGAGGUAUUAUCAUCUGAUAAUUUUCCAUGAUUUGGGUGUAGAUAACCCUUAGAGCAGCCAUUGGAGGAAAAGUCUGGUGCCAGCACCCGCGGUAAUUCCAGCUCCAAGAGCGUAUAUUAAUACUGCUGUAGUUAAAACGCCCGUAGUAAACCUAAGAGUGUGUAUGUAGUAAUUAGUCUUGCCGGGAGAUGGUUGGGAAGAGUUUAUAACUCUUUCUUGCCUACUUCUGGUAGACUUCAUCUGGGCUGGACCUCUGGUCCUCGUUCGGAAGUUGCUGCGUAUAUACUUGUCCACGGUUCAUCCCGUGAGGCAAAA